UUGGAUACACGAAAGCAAGGACGCGUAGAGCAUCUGCGAUUUCGAUGAGCUUCGCAGGGACCUACAUACAGUCCUUAGCACUGCCAAAUGGCAGUUGGAUAAGUUUGAGA